AUAUAAUCUAUAACAACCAAGUUUCAACGAAAUACCAUCAACCAAAACGGGCUCAAAUAUGUAUGAGUACUGUCACUUUAAUUAAAACCACCCUGAAUGAUGGUUGUGUAUUAGACGCUAGUCCCAAAUAACUUUAUAGUAGGACACCUGUAUGGUGAAAGGCACAGAAAGCAAUGGAAAUGAGAUAUGUGAAAAGAAUAUAAAUGAUGCAAUAGGUAAAUUAAUUUCGGAUAGUUUAGUCGUGAAGUGAAUAAGUAAAGACCGAUAACGAAGGAGUGUGUGUUUGGUCAGGUGAAAGAGGGAAGCCCAAGAAUGGAGAGAACAGAUAGAUGAAUAUCUGAAAGUGCAUGUAUAUGAAAGUAUGUGUUAAAGAAAGGUGCGUAAGCUUGUAAAUGCUGUUUAUAGACACGUGAUAGAGAAAUAAUCUAAGAUGUAAAAUGAUGAACAAUUUAUGUAAAGUGUUUUUAUUAUCUUCAUCGGGUAUAAGUUCAAUAUUAGUUCUGUUUAAGUUGAGAAACAUGUUUUUCUCUCUUAAUAUGCUUAUAUACAACAGAACGAAUAAGUACUUAUAUGAAAAGAAGGAAUGGUUGCAAAAAAAGUUGGUACAGUAUGCAAAGAUGAGAAUGUGUGGCACUGUAUGAUCAGUUGUACAUGAAUUUUUUCUCAUAAAAAUUAUUUUAAAUAAAAUUAGUG
rnacentral:lncRNA from 1 species